rnacentral:lncRNA from 1 species
UUCCUCGCGUUUUCCUCAGACUCCACAGGGGAAGAGAACCCAGCGACUGUUUCUACUCCCCUUCCUCGUUCGUGUGGCAGAUCUCGCGUUCAUCUGCUUCUUCCUACCGGGAUCCUACUCCGGCAAGAGCACCAUCGCCCUCGUAAGCAGGUGACGCGCCCAUCUCUGCCGAUUCGUCCGCGGCAGCGGAUUCCUUCUCUUCCUCUUGAUUCUUCACUGUCGUUCGCUUCUCAUCCGCUUUGCGUCUUUGGAGGCAGGUGGAUGGUUCAUCUUCAUCUGUCUCACCUCAUUUUCUCACGCUGAUUUUGUGGGUUUCUCAUCUGACGUAUCUCUUUGAUAGAAGCUAGGUUUCCUGAUUUCUUCUUUUUUUGCUGUUGGCAGAUGGUGUGGCGUGUUUUUCCCCAGGAUAGCACUUCAAUUUUGGUCCAGGUUUGUCAGAUCUUCGCUCCCCUUUUGGUCAGAUUUGUGGUUUUCCCCCUUUUUUGUUAGUUUCUUAGCUAACUGUAUUUGCCACGUGUUUCUAUUUUUGUUGGCAGAUUCGGCUCAGAUCCAGUAGACCGUUGUUGUUCUACAGGAAAAAGGUAAACCGUUUCAUCAAGUACAAGUAGUAGUUCUACUAUUUUAGUUCUGGUACUUGGCUUGUUAUUCAUAAGCUAGGGUGGAGUUUUGGUUUAGGUCUGGUACUUAUAGAUAUAGUGGAAUUGUGGUGCCAAGCAUAUAGUUCUUAUUUUCGUACAUAUGCUGCUUCUACAUAUAGUGGUAUUGAUUUUCCACUUUUUUAAACAGCUUUACUUCCCUAGAGUCGAUUCAUUCCACUAGACCUUCUUUUUGUGUGAACAAUCUGUUUGAAACAAUCAAUCUUCUUUUUUGCUGUUGGCAGAUGGUGUGGCGUGUUAUUCCACAAACAAUCAAAUUGUAUCACUCAACAGCAAAUCAACAAGAUAACAUCAAACCUGGUUUAUUUCCUUUUUCCUAUUUUCCAUUGUUCGUGUUUUUCUUCUAUGGAUUUUGUGUCGUAGGAGGCUAUCACCUAUUAAAAGAUUGUCCAGGUAAUGAACUGUCUAGUUAGUCUGUACUUCCCUUGAGAACUACCCAUUGCAGGGAAGCACCUGAGUUAACCAAUCAUGCAUAUUCUUCUUGAAAAUGUUUUUCUAAUAUCUUUAGUUGGCAUUUUCAAAUGACCUAUCUUACUUUUUUAUUUGACAUGUACAACCAUAGGUCUGCUCUGUAUUGAUUCCUUUACAUGGAUUUAUGGGAUGGAAAAAUCAUGAAGGACUAUGAUGCUGUGAAUUUUCCUGAUUUACUGUAAAAAAUGAUAUUUCUUUUCAAGUUUUUCUUUUUAUAUUGUACUAUUGUUAGUAAUGCUCUUGACCCCCACACAUUCUCUUUCCCGGAGACAACCACUCUAUAUAUCGCUCUUGAGAGCUCUGUUUCUCUGCUAUGGAUGUACUAGCCGCUACUAUAACCUGUUUGUUCAGUUAAUUUAACUUGAAGCACCUCAUGUAUGUUUGGCAGCUUAACAUCCACUUCUCUAGUCUGCAAGUUUUGCGAGGUUAAUUAAAUAAUAUCCAGUUGCUUCCCUGAAAAAAAAUACUAGCUUGUUGUUUGUUGAUCUUCAGUAACUAGUUUGUGUAUUUUUUUCUUUUCUACUAUUUUAGGGAAUCAUUCCUCAAAUUUGGCAGAUUGGUGCUGACAAAAUGGCAAAAUUCGACCUGAACAACAUGGACUUUGUGGCACUGGAUGAUGCUUCAACCAGGAAGAGAAAGAGCGCCUUUAGAUGUUUCUAGAAAGGAAAGGAGUAGUCACAAAUAUUUGCUACAUUGAUGUGUAUAUCCAUUUUAGCUGAUCAACAUAUACCUCAGAAAGCAUGUUGUUGUUGACUUCCUAUGACAAACAAAAGUGUUCCCAGUGUGCAAGUGUUCUAAACGAAUGUGUUUUUGUUUUUCUUGCUAUUUUCCUAUGUACCUCACACAACAAUAUCGCGCCAGAAAUAGGGAUUCUGUUCUAGACUUUCUUUUUUUCGCUCUAUUUGGGUACAAUGUUUGAUAACUAUCUAUCUGAACAUGAAUUGACAGUUUAUAUAGCACCUAAUAAUAAUUUUGUUCGAAAUGAAUUAAGCAUGAAUAGAGUUUAAAUUAACUAAUGUAAUUUUAUUUAGAUUAUUUUCCCCAAAUGAAUUUAUACAUGCAUAGCAAUAUGUAUCAUGCCUUGCCAUCUAUGUUGGGACCUUGUACAUCCACCUUGAAUUCUGAGAACAUUUUAUGGACCUUAGCACACAAUUUAAAUUCCAAGAACAACUUUUCAGUCUGAGAACAUUUUUAGAAUACAAUAGUAUUCUUUUAGAAUCUAUGAACAGAACUUGAAUUCCAAGAACAAAAUUUUAAUGUGAAGAACAUUUUUGAAUCCUAGAACAACUUAAUUUCAGAUAAUAAUUUUUGAAUGUCCUAGAACAUUUUUGAUCCAAGAACUUCUUGAAUGCAUCGAACAUUUUUGAAUCCAUGAACAAUUUUGACUGCAAGAACAUUGAAUGCCUUGAACAUUUUUUUUGAAUCGUAUAAUAAUUUUGAAUGUCAUGAACUUCUUUGAAUCCAAGAACAUUUUUAGAUGCUUUGAAUUUUUUUUUGAAUCCAAGAAGAAUUUUGAA